rnacentral:rRNA from 1 species
GUGGGGAAUAUUGGACAAUGGGCGAAAGCCUGAUCCAGCCAUGCCGCGUGUGUGAAGAAGGUCUUCGGAUUGUAAAGCACUUUAAGUUGGGAGGAAGGGCAGUAAGUUAAUACCUUGCUGUUUUGACGUUACCAACAGAAUAAGCACCGGCUAACUUCGUGCCAGCAGCCGCGGUAAUACGAAGGGUGCAAGCGUUAAUCGGAAUUACUUGGCGUAAAGCGCGCGUAGGUGGUUUUGUAAGUUGGAGGUGAAAUCCCCGGGCUCAACCUGGGAACUGCCUCCAAAACUGCAUGACUAGAGUACGGUAGAGGGUAGUGGAAUUUCCUGUGUAGCGGUGAAAUGCGUAGAUAUAGGAAGGAACACCAGUGGCGAAGGCGACUACCUGGACUGAUACUGACACUGAGGUGCGAAAGCGUGGGUAGCGAACAGGAUUAGAAACCCUGGUAGUCC